rnacentral:sRNA from 1 species
UAAAGUCAGACACAUCGUUGGUUGGUGU